rnacentral:rRNA from 1 species
AGUGAACGCUGGCGAUAGGCCUAACACAUGCAAGUCGAACGGCAGCACAGUAAGAGCUUGCUCUUACGGGUGGCGAGUGGCGGACGGGUGAGGAAUACAUCGGAAUCUACUUUUUCGUGGGGGAUAACGUAGGGAAACUUACGCUAAUACCGCAUACGACCUACGGGUGAAAGCAGGGGAUCUUCGGACCUUGCGCGAUUGAAUGAGCCGAUGUCGGAUUAGCUAGUUGGCGGGGUAAAGGCCCACCAAGGCGACGAUCCGUAGCUGGUCUGAGAGGAUGAUCAGCCACACUGGACCUGAGACACGGUCCAGACUCCACGGGAGGCAGCAGUGGGGAAUAUUGGACAAUGGGCGCAAGCCUGAUCCAGCCAUACCGCGUGGGUGAAGAAGGCCUUCGGGUUGUAAAGCCCUUUUGUUGGGAAAGAAAAGCAGCAGGUUAAUACCCCGCUGUUCUGACGGUACCCAAAGAAUAAGCACCGGCUAACUUCGUG